GAGGGUAUAGCUCAUUGGUAGAGUGUAUGCUUAACAUGCAUGAAUUGCUGGGUUCAAUUCCCAGUACCUCUA
rnacentral:tRNA from 1 species